rnacentral:rRNA from 1 species
UCUCUCUGAAUCUGCGUACGGCUCAUUAAAACAGUUAUAGUUUAUUCGAUUAUUUUCUUCUACAUGGAUAACCGUAGUAAUUCUAGAGCUAAUACAUGCUGUCAAACCUGACUUUUGCGGAAGGGUUGUAUUUAUUAGAUAUAAACCGACACUCCUCACGGAGUUUCGUGAUGAUUCAUAAUAACUGAACGGAUCGCGGCCUUGCCGCGACGAAUCGUUCAAGUUUCUGCCCUAUCAGCUUUCGAUGGUAGUGUAUUGUACUACCAUGGCGAUCACGGGUAACGGGGAAUUAGGGUUCGAUCCUGGAGAGUGGGCCUGAGAGAUUGUUAG